UACGAAGGGGGCUAGCGUUGCUCGGAAUCACUGGGCGUAAAGCGCACGUAGGCGGAUUGCUAAGUCAGGGGUGAAAUCCUGGAGCUCACUCCAGAACUGCCCUUUGAUACUGAAGAUCUUGAGUUCGGGAGAGGUGAGUGGAACUGCGAGUGUAGAGGUGAAAUUCGUAGAUAUUCGCAAGAACACCAGUGGCGGAAGGCGGCUCACUGGCCCGAUACUGACGCUGAGGCACGAAAGCGUGGGGAGCAACAGG
rnacentral:rRNA from 1 species